rnacentral:rRNA from 1 species
GUAAUACGACUCACUAUAGGGCGAAUUGGGCCCGACGUCGCAUGCUCCCGGCCGCCAUGGCGGCCGCGGGAAUUCGAUUGGAUUAGGCAUGCAAGUCGAACGAGGAAGUGCCCCGUAAGGAGGCGCAAGCCUAGUGGCGAAAGGGUGAGUAAUGCAUUGAUAACCUGCCUUUGAGAUGGGAAUAACUGCGUUUCGAGCAAUCGGAACUACCGAAAGGGCUGCUAAUACCCAAUAAUACUACAGGUGCAAAAGCACUUGUGGUCAAAUGCUAGGAAUUCUGUUCCUUGUGCUUAAAGAGGGGUUAAUGUCCUAUCAGCUAGUUGGUGGGGUAAUGGCCUACCAAGGCAAAGACGGGUAGCCGGCUUGAGAGGGUGGUCGGCCACACUGGGACUGAGACACUGCCCAGACUCCUACGGGAGGCUGCAGUCGAGAAUCUUUCGCAAUGCCCGAAAGGGUGACGAGGCGACGCCGCGUGUGGGAAGAAGGCCUUCGGGUUGUAAACCACUGUCGGGAGUUAGGAAAUGCAGGUGCGUUAAUAGCGCACUUGCUUGACUAAGGCUCCAGAGGAAGCCACGGCUAACUCUGUGCCAGCAGCCGCGGUAAUACAGAGGCGGCAAGCGUUGCUCGGAAUUAUUGGGCGUAAAGAGCACGUAGGCGGCCUUGCAAGUCAGUUGUGAAAGCCUUCCGCUUAACGGAAGAACGGCAUCUGAUACUACAGGGCUUGAGUACGGGAGGGGAGAGUGGAACUUCUGGUGGAGCGGUGAAAUGCGUAGAUAUCAGAAGGAACGCCGGCGGCGAAAGCGACUCUCUGGUCCGAAACUGACGCUGAGUGUGCGAAAGCUAGGGGAGCAAACGGGAUUAGAUACCCCGGUAGUCCUAGCCGUAAACGAUGGGCACUAAGUAGAGGGAAUUAAAUCACUAGUGAAUUCGCGGCCGCCUGCAAGUCGACCAUAUGGGAGAGCUCCCAACGCGUUGGAUGCAUAGCUUGAGUAUUCUA